UCGAGGGGCAGCAUUUCAGUUUGCUUGCAAACUGGAGAUGGCGACCGGCGCACGGGUGAGUAACACGUAUCGAGGGGCAGCAUUUUAGUUUGCUUGCAAACUAAAGAUGGCGACCGGCGCACGGGUGAGUAACACGUAUCCAACCUGCCGAUAACUCGGGGAUAGCCUUUCGAAAGAAAGAUUAAUAUCCGAUAGUAUAUUAAAACCGCAUGGUUUUACUAUUAAAGAAUUUCGGUUAUCGAUGGGGAUGCGUUCCAUUAGUUUGUUGGCGGGGUAACGGCCCACCAAGACUACGAUGGAUAGGGGUUCUGAGAGGAAGGUCCCCCACAUUGGAACUGAGACACGGUCCAAACNNNNNNGGGAGGCAGCAGUGAGGAAUAUUGGUCAAUGGACGAGAGUCUGAACCAGCCAAGUAGCGUGAAGGAUGACUGCCCUAUGGGUUGUAAACUUCUUUUAUAUGGGAAUAAAGUAUUCCACGUGUGGGAUUUUGUAUGUACCAUAUGAAUAAGGAUCGGCUAACUCCGUGCCAGCAGCCGCGGUAAUACGGAGGAUCCGAGCGUUAUCCGGAUUUAUUGGGUUUAAAGGGAGCGUAGGUGGAUUGUUAAGUCAGUUGUGAAAGUUUGCGGCUCAACCGUAAAAUUGCAGUUGAAACUGGCAGUCUUGAGUACAGUAGAGGUGGGCGGAAUUCGUGGUGUAGCGGUGAAAUGCUUAGAUAUCACGAAGAACUCCGAUUGCGAAGGCAGCUCACUAGACUGCAACUGACACUGAUGCUCGAAAGUGUGGGUAUCAAACAGGAUUAGAUACCCUGGUAGUCCACACAGUAAACGAUGAAUACUCGCUGUUUGCGAUAUACAGUAAGCGGCCAAGCGAAAGCAUUAAGUAUUCCACCUGGGGAGUACGCCGGCAACGGUGAAACUCAAAGGAAUUGACGGGGGCCCGCACAAGCGGAGGAACAUGUGGUUUAAUUCGAUGAUACGCGAGGAACCUUACCCGGGCUUAAAUUGCAUUUGAAUAAUCUGGAAACAGGUUAGCCGCAAGGCAAAUGUGAAGGUGCUGCAUGGUUGUCGUCAGCUCGUGCCGUGAGGUGUCGGCUUAAGUGCCAUAACGAGCGCAACCCUUAUCUUUAGUUACUAACAGGUCAUGCUGAGGACUCUAGAGAGACUGCCGUCGUAAGAUGUGAGGAAGGUGGGGAUGACGUCAAAUCAGCACGGCCCUUACGUCCGGGGCUACACACGUGUUACAAUGGGGGGUACAGAAGGCAGCUACCUGGCGACAGGAUGCUAAUCCCAAAAACCUCUCUCAGUUCGGAUCGAAGUCUGCAACCCGACUUCGUGAAGCUGGAUUCGCUAGUAAUCGCGCAUCAGCCAUGGCGCGGUGAAUACGUUCCCGGGCCUUGUACACACCGCCCGUCAAGCCAUGAAAGCCGGGGGUACCUGAAGUACGUAACCGCAA
rnacentral:rRNA from 1 species